rnacentral:rRNA from 1 species
AAGAUGGGGAAGUGGAGAUUGUCGCUGGCUUUCUGGCACGUGCACGUCUUCCUUCUCGUCGACCUCUCUCUUUCUCUCACACCUGUGCACCCGUUGUAGGUCCUCGAAAGAGGGUCUAUGUCUUUCAUCAUCACACAUCGUCGUAUGUCCAUAGAAUGUAUAGAAAAUGUCGACCGACUUUAGGGUCGGGAAGGCAUUAAUGGGAUGAAAUCAUACAACUUUCAGCAACGGAUCUCUUGGCUCUCGCAUCGAUGAAGAACGCAGCGAAUUGCGAUAAGUAAUGUGAAUUGCAGAUUUUCAGUGAAUCAUCGAAUCUUUGAACGCACCUUGCGCUCCUUGGUAUUCCGAGGAGCAUGCCUGUUUGAGUGUCAAUGAAUUUCUCAACCAUGUCUUGAUCGAUUUCGAGGCAUGGCUUGGACUUGGGGGUUGCUGGCGGCGAAAGCUGUCGGCUCUCCUGAAAUGCAUUAGUGACGGACAGCAAGUCUGACGUGCACGGCCUCGACGUGAUAAUGAUCGUCGUCGCUGGAGCGUCGGGACGAGCGUGACGAGUCUGUUUGCUUCCAAUCCUUGACUUGGACUUUCGAGCGACGCUUUAGAUACUAGUCGGUCGUGAUG